AUUUCUGGUUUCUCUUCAGAUCAUAUAAAUCUUUCACCUUUUACUAAAGAUUUCCAUGAAAAAUUCAAUAAAGACUAUUAUCCAAGUUUUCCUCCUG